rnacentral:misc_RNA from 1 species
UUUAAAAUGAUUUUUUUUUUUUAAAUUAAAAAGAAUUGAUCAGAAGAUAAGGGAUUAGUGUUUAAAAGAGUUGUCUUGAAUCUUGAUUAUGAAGUAAUAUUCUUCUUGUUUCUUGAAGACAAUGCAUAGGGAUUGUGCUCUUUCAACUAAAUUGUCCCAAACAAGUUAAAAGCGAUAUUUUAAAGUUUUAAUCAACAUAUUCAUGAAGAAACAUAUAUACAAAUCGAUUAUCCAGAUUCUUCUAGAUAUACCUCAACCAUCUCUUUCUUCCUUUUCUUCGAUAAACUCUGAAAAAAUAAAAAGUAAAGGUGCUGCCUUCUUUUGUCCAGUGAUUGCUCAGAAAUGUCUCACCUGGGUUAUAGUGUGAGCUUUCCGAUUGAAGGAGAUGUUUCAGCAGUUAAGAUGUUUCACCUGGGUUGUAAUUUGACCUUGUUGCAAUGGGCCUUCUUGCAACGAUGGUCUUCUUGUAGCCACCCCUAAUGUCGUAGGACGUCAUUGCUAAGGAGGAGAGAUCGUCGGUUGUCGUUGGUUGAGCUUGAGGUUGUAAAGAAUGGAGUGAAGAGAAAGUGGGGCGUCUAGCAUGAAAACACGAAAGGGGUUUGCUGCUGUGUGAUUGGCUAUUUUAAAUUUAUUUCUCCUUUUUUUUUUUCAAAUGAUUAUUGAUGAUGUUGCUGGGUUUGUUCUUAAUUCUUGGUUUCUGGAUUUGUUUUUGGUUGUUGGGUUUAUUCUUUUUGGGUUUGUUCUUAAUUCUUGGUUUCUGGAUUUGUUUUUGGUUGUUGGGUUUAUUCUUUU